rnacentral:rRNA from 1 species
UACGUAGGGUGCAAGCGUUGUCCGGAAUUAUUGGGCGUAAAGAGCUCGUAGGCGGUCUGUCGCGUCUGCUGUGAAAACUCAGGGCUUAACCCUGAGCUUGCAGUGGGUACGGGCAGACUAGAGUGCGGUAGGGGAGACUGGAAUUCCUGGUGUAGCGGUGGAAUGCGCAGAUAUCAGGAGGGAACACCGGUGGGCCGAAGGCGGGUCUCUGGGCCGUAACUGGACGCUGGAGGAGC